rnacentral:lncRNA from 1 species
UAUCUACUGGCCAGUGGAAUAGUGCAGUAAAGUUCAUACAGAGACCAGGAGUCUUAGAAAACUGACCUAGAGCAGGAGAGACAGGUCACAUAUUGGUAGGAGUAAUGUGUCAUGUUUCAGGCACUACACGCUGGAUGCUUCCCUGCCUUUGCGUCUGCGACCAGAGUCAAUGGAGAAGCUGCGCUGUCUCCGGGCUUGUGUGAUCCGAUCUCUGUACCAUAUGUAUGAGCCAUUUGCUGCUCGAAUCUCCAAGAAUCCAGCCAUUCCAGAAAGCACCCCCAGCACAUUAAAGAAUUCCAAAUAGCAUAGCUUGUGUGGGACACUGGAGCCGUUGUGAUGGCAGCAGAAGUGUUUUCCCCUUAAAGCCAAGCCCAUUAAUUUUGAUGGAACAGCAGGACGUACAGGGCAUGUCUGAAGGGCAGGACAGCUGGCACGGCGGACGACCCACCCCUUAUCCCCUGGGAGUGCUUACUUUUCUGGUGCAGAAAGAUUGUUGGGAACAGACAGGAACCAAUGUGGGAAUUCAACUUCAAGUUCAAAAAACAGUACGAAGAUGUUCAUACCAAUCCAGACCAGGACUGCUGCCUACUGCAGGUCACCACCCUCAAUUUCAUCUUUAUUCCGAUUGUCAUGGGAAUGAUAUUUACUCUGUUUACUAUCAAUGUGAGCACGGACAUGCGGCAUCAUCGAGUGAGACUGGUGUUCCAAGAUUCCCCUGUCCAUGGUGGUCGGAAACUGCGCAGUGAACAGGGUGUGCA